UACGUAGGGGGGCGAGCGUUGUCCGGAUUUAUUGGGCGUAAAGCGCGCGCAGGCGGCUUCUUAAGUCUGAUGUGAAAGCCCGUGGCUCAACCACGGAGGGUCAUUGGAAACUGGGGAGCUUGAGUGCAGAAGAGGAGAGUGGAAUUCCACGUGUAGCGGUGAAAUGCGUAGAUAUGUGGAGGAACACCAGUGGCGAAAGCGGCUCUCUGGUCUGUAACUGACGCUGAGGCGCGAAAGCGUGGGGAGCAAACAGG
rnacentral:rRNA from 1 species